GUAGGUGGCAAGCGUUGUCCGGAAUUAUUGGGCGUAAAGCGCGCGCAGGCGGUUCUUUAAGUCUGAUGUGAAAGCCCACGGCUCAACCGUGGAGGGUCAUUGGAAACUGGGGAACUUGAGUACAGAAGAGGAAAGCGGAAUUCCACGUGUAGCGGUGAAAUGCGUAGAGAUGUGGAGGAACACCAGUGGCGAAGGCGGCUUUCUGGUCUGUAACUGACGCUGAGGCGCGAAAGCGUGGGGAGCAAACAGGAUUAGAUACCCUGGUAGUCCACGCCGUAAACGAUGAGUGCUAAGUGUUAGGGGGUUUCCGCCCCCCUUAGUGCUGCAGCUAACGCAUUAAGCACUCCGCCUGGGAGUACGGCCGCAAGGCUG
rnacentral:rRNA from 1 species